CCUUCGGGUUAGUGGCGGACGGGUGAGUAACGCGUGAGAAUCUGCCCUCAGGAGGGGGAUAACGGCUGGAAACGGCCGCUAAUACCCCAUAUGCCGAGAGGUGAAAUGAAUUUCGCCUGAGGAUGAGCUCGCGUCUGAUUAGCUAGUUGGUGUGGUAAAGGCUCACCAAGGCGACGAUCAGUAGCUGGUCUGAGAGGAUGAUCAGCCACACUGGGACUGAGACACGGCCCAGACUCCUACGGGAGGCAGCAGUGGGGAAUUUUCCGCAAUGGGCGAAAGCCUGACGGAGCAACGCCGCGUGAGGGAUGAAGGCCUCUGGGCUGUAAACCUCUUUUAUCAAGGAAGAAGAUCUGACGGUACUUGAUGAAUAAGCCACGGCUAAUUCCGUGCCAGCAGCCGCGGUAAUACGGGAGUGGCAAGCGUUAUCCGGAAUUAUUGGGCGUAAAGCGUCCGCAGGCGGUCUUGUAAGUCUGUUGUUAAAGCGUGGAGCUUAACUCCAUUUAAGCAAUGGAAACUACAAGACUAGAGUGUGGUAGGGGCAGAGGGAAUUCCCGGUGUAGCGGUGAAAUGCGUAGAUAUCGGGAAGAACACCAGUGGCGAAGGCGCUCUGCUGGGCCAUAACUGACGCUCAUGGACGAAAGCCAGGGGAGCGAAAGGGAUUAGAUACCCCUGUAGUCCUGGCCGUAAACGAUGAACACUAGGUGUCGGGGGAAUCGACCCCCUCGGUGUCGUAGCCAACGCGUUAAGUGUUCCGCCUGGGGAGUACGCACGCAAGUGUGAAACUCAAAGGAAUUGACGGGGGCCCGCACAAGCGGUGGAGUAUGUGGUUUAAUUCGAUGCAACGCGAAGAACCUUACCAGGGUUUGACAUCCUGCGAAUCCCUUGGAAACGAGGGAGUGCCUUCGGGAGCGCAGUGACAGGUGGUGCAUGGCUGUCGUCAGCUCGUGUCGUGAGAUGUUGGGGUUAAGUCCCGCAACGAGCGCAACCCACGUCUUUAGUUGCCAGCAUUCAGUUGGGCACUCUAGAGAGACCGCCGGUGAUAAACCGGAGGAAGGUGUGGAUGACGUCAAGUCAUCAUGCCCCUUACAUCCUGGGCUACACACGUACUACAAUGCUACGGACAAAGGGCAGCAAACUCGCGAGAGCUAGCAAAUCCCAUAAACCGUGGCUCAGUUCAGAUCGUAGGCUGCAACUCGCCUACGUGAAGGAGGAAUCGCUAGUAAUCGCAGGUCAGCAUACUGCGGUGAAUACGUUCCCGGGCCUUGUACACACCGCCCGUCACACCAUGGAAGUUGGCCACGCCCGAAGUCGUUACUCCAACCCUUGUGGAGGAGGAUGCCGAAGGUGGGGCUGAUGACUGGGGUGAAGUCGUAACAAGGUAGCCGUACCGGAAGGUGC
rnacentral:rRNA from 1 species